ensembl:lncRNA
CAGGGAGGGAGGGAGGAUCAGGAAGAGAGGCAGGUUUGAGGUGCAGGUGGGGACACAGCUGGAGAUUGUAGCCAGUAUUUGUUAACUGAGUUACUAAAUUUUGUUUGUUGUUAAGAGUUACUAAAAUACCUGAGUAUGGCAUUUGUCUCCCUUUGUCAAGAGAAAAACCCUCUAGUUAAAUCACUCUUUGAAGAGUAGUUGCUGAACCAGGGGAAGCUAACUUCAACAGCAGUAAAUGCUGUGCAUUUUGUCCCCUCAGGGUAAAACUGGGGACCUUGGAAAGUCCUGGGAACUUGCUGAUCAAUUUGCAAAUCCAGUAUGUCUACUGUUUCAGUCACAAUGCUGGGACAAGGAACAAUGGGACAAAGGGACAAUGCUGGGACAAGGAAAGUCUUCUCGAAGACCCAUACCUGUAGUCAAAUUGAAUAACUAUUUCUUUAAGUAGUGAUUCAGUUGUCAACAGUUUACAGGCUGGUUCUGCCCAGCUCCAUGACUAGUAGUGGGGCAGGGCAACCCACAGAUCUAUGGCUGGGGAAAGGGUAGGGAGAUGGGCCUAAAAACAAAACAGCAGCAAUUAUCUGAGGAGAAAUAAAACUAGUUUACGAAGUAAGAUAUUGGAAUGCAAGAUAACACACUGUAGUACAAUAUAAUUAGAAUUGAAGCUAGUAAAUAAAAUGAGUGUCCAAAAACCAAAGCCCUUAGUCUAAUGCUGAGGCAAGAUGUCUAACCAGGCCAAGCAGAAGAGAAAAGGGGGAUGUCUUGUGAUACGAGAACGGUUUUAUCUUUCCCUCUGAAAAGAAAAUGGAAACAACAAUGCAAAGUCCUCUGGUGUAUGUAGUUGUUCUUCUCUUCUGAGAACUGGGUAUCCAGUGCACAACAUGUUGCUAUGAUGUGGAAUACCAAUAACAAAAACCAUAAAACCACAAGAAGUUCAUACUUCCUUUGUAAGUACAGAUACUUCUACGUGGAAAAUGAUAGUUAUAUUCCACUAGGAGAAAACAUUCCACCAAAUGUUAAUGUACAGCAUUUCUGUAGUUUGGAGACACCUGUUCAGUUAGGUUUAUAAGGAAAUAGCUAAUAAGGUUAUUUACUCAUUCUGUUGCAUCAUCUUUUAUGUAGAACAUACGACCCUAAUUGUCAGUGUUCUUUUUGUCAGCCAAUACUUUGUAGUUUCCAUGUCAGCAAUACUCAUUUUCAAAGAGCAAUUUCACUCCAGCUGUCUCCUACUGAGGUAGUCAUUUUUGUUUGUUUCUGAUCCAGCAUUUUUCUUUUUUAGAUACGUAAGAUACCACAGGAUUUGAAUUUUAAACAAAUACUUGUUUUCUGCUUCCAACCUUGUGUCAUUAAAAAAUAAAGACAAAAAACACUUCUGGUAGCUGAUGGAGGAUUACUUAGAAGUCUACCUGCAGACUCCUACAGAUGCAGAAUUUGAAGUUUUCCUGUCUUAAAUUCAAAGUUAGUACCUUUAUACAAACAUUAAACGCACCAUUUUAUAGGACUUUGUCUACGGUAUUAGUCAUAGAAUCCUUACGGUUGGAAGGGACCUUUAAAGGUCAUGUAGUUCAAUUCCCCUGCAAUGAGCAGGGACAUCCACAGCUAGAUCAGGUUGCUCAGAGCCCUGUCCAGCCUGAACUCUCGAGGGAGGGGUCUUCAACCUCAAACACCGAAGACAACUGAUCCUAACUCUGACCCCUGGGAGACACCACUAGUCACUGAUCUCUAUCCAGACAUGGAGCCAUUGCCCACCACUCUCUGGACUCAGUCCUGUUGCCACUUCUUUAUGUUGAACAGUCCACCCAUCAAAUCCGUAUAUUUCCAAUCUGAAGAGAAGAAUGUUGUGGGUUACUGUGCCAAAGGCCUUACUGAAGUCCAGACAGAUGACAUCAGUGGCUUUUCACUUGUCCAUUGAUGCAGUGACACCAUCGUAGAUGGUCAAUCAGGAUUUUUCCCUUGGUAAAGCCAUGCUGGUUCUCCUGUAUCACCUCCCUGUCAUCCACAUGCCUUAGCAUAGCUUCCAGGAAGAUCUGCUUCAUGAUCUUUCUUGGCACAGAGGUACAACUGAGCAGUUGGUAGUUCCCAGGGUCAUUCUGGGUAAAACCCUCUUAAAAAUGUGUGAUGUUGCCUUUUUUUUUUUUUUCUCCAGUCACCAGGGACUUCACCUGACUGCCUGCCAUGACUUUUCAAUAAAAAGUCCUGUACCAUGAAACUCAGUAUGUGUCUGCUGAUAAACGAUGGAAACCAGCUUGGCAGGCACUUCUGUUAGCUCCUUCAGUGCACUUGGGUGGAUCCCAUCUGACCCCAUGGUCUUGGACUCACAGAAUGGCCUGGGUUGGAAGGGACCUCAAGGAUCAUGAACCUCCAACCCCCAUGCCAGGCAGGGCCACCAGCCUCCCCAUUUAAUAGACCAGGUUGCCCAGGGCCCCAUCCAACCUGGCCUUGAACACCUCCAGGGACGGGGCAUCCACAACCUCUCUGGGCAGCCUGUUCCAGCACCUCACCACUCUCCUUGUAAAGAACUUCCCCCUAACAUCCAGCCUAAAUCUUCCCUCUUUCAACUUAAAACCAUUCCCCCUUGUCCUGCUGUUAUCUACCCUUUCAAAGAGUUUACUCCCUUCCUGUUUAUAGGCUCCCUUCAGGUACUGAAAGGCUGCAAUGAGGUCACCCUGCAGCCUUCUCUUCUCCAGGCUGAAUAAGCCAAGCUCCCUCAGCCUGUCAUUGUAGGGGAGGUGCUCCAGCCCCCUGAUCAUCUUUGUGGCCCUCCUUUGGACCCUCUCCAACAGCUCUCUGUCUUUCUUGUACUGGGGGCUCCAUACCUGGACACAGUAGUCCAGAUGGGGCCUCACAAGAGCAGAGUAGAGAGGGACAGUCACCUCCCUGUCCCUGCUGGCCACCCCUCUCAUGAUGGAGCCCAGGAUACCAUUUGCUUUCCAAGCUGCAAGAGCACACUGCUGGCUCAUGUUAAGGUUGUCAUCCAUCAGGACCCCCAGGUCUUUCUCUGCAGAGCUGCUCUCAAGGACUUCUCCUUCCAGUCUUUACAGAUGCCUGGGGUUCCUCCAGCCCAAGUGCAAAACCUCGCACAUUGCUGUGCUGAACCUCAUUGGGUUCACCCGGGCCCACCUUUCAAGUCUGACUCACCACCACUGACUUUGUUUUGAUGGCAGCAAGCUGCAAUUCCAUAAAUGGAUAAGCAGGGAAGAAGGAAGAUGUAGUGUUUUUUAGAAUUCAGCAGAGCAAGAGCAAAGGUAGUAGGGUCUCAAAUUAUUCUUGUAGGUAAGCCUUUGGUGCAUAUCUAUUUAGGACUAUUGUUGUCAUACCUGUGUACAACUUUCAGGAGGCACAACUGAGUAAUGUGUGCUCACUACAGACUGAUUAGAGAGGGGGUUUUGAAAGAACCAUGGUUUCAUAACAAUAAGUCUGGUUUUAGUUCACUUAGGAUUGAGCCAAAGCAUAGUAGUCACAAGAUGCUAAGCAGUACUUUACUCAAGUUCACUCUGCUAAAUCAAAUGUAUUAACAUUUUGUUAUGUCAAGCCGGGCAUAGUAUCUUUCUGCAGCUGGCAUAAACGCCACAUCACAUGUUCAGGCUAAUUCAACAAAACUAGUCAUGUCGUAAGGGUCAAAUACAUAUUACCAGAUAAGCCAAGUUCUCUGAAUUUAAAGUUAUGGCUCAAUCAUGGAACGUAACAAAUAAUUUCUUGUGAUUGGUAACUUGGUUACUGCUCUCCAUUACAACCUGGAAAUGUAAUGCAAGCGUCUGAGCUGUUCGGGAAUUAUGGCAAACAGCUCCAAUGUUGAUACUUGUAAUAAAACUAGAGUAUUUUCCCUGCUAAAAAAUGUCCUUGUAACAUUGUUUUGGAAACAUGGCUCUGACUUCUGUUAAGUUUAGUUAACAAAAUGUGUUCUUCAGCAGGCAGAAAAUGUCUACAAAAUUUUAGGUGUUUCUAUCAUUCUUGUCACAUGUCCCAGACUAAAGGUGUACCACUUUAAUUACUUGAAGUACACAGUCCUAUUUACUUUAAUAUAAUCUGGCACUAGCUUGGGUUUGGUGUGGUUUAAAAGGCAAUUCUUCACCCUCGCUUCUUUCACAGCUGGCUGUAUGUUCCCUCUCUUCCUGUCACAUUGGAUUUAGCAAGCAUAUUAGUGAAAAUUGGUUUGAUUCAGUAAAAAGCACCUGUCACAAACAGUUUUCUUCAGUUCUACCUGUUGAACUGACUCAUUGCACUAGAUCUAAUCAGAGCUUAGGAAAUGGAAUCUGAUAGUCUGUGUAACAUGAUGGUAAGUGCAACAAUGACAACAGAGCAGCAAGAACCCAGGCAAGUGAGGAGUUACAGUGGACACAGAAAUAAGGGGAAAAAAACACCUUACCUUCAGAAGGCCUCAGAUAUGCUGUUGCCUUCAGCAACUAUGAUGUUAGCCACCUGUGCUAGCCCUCUUGCACACACUGACCAAUUACCUGAUCAGGGCCAAAUGACUGCAGACGCACACCAAUAUGAUGAGCAGUAAAAUGGCAUCUAUUCACUACUAAGCACAGCUUAUAUACCUUUACUUGAGCUAUCGUGCCCUGUUCUGAUUCGUCCGUACUGGAUCUUAGCCCCUUACUACAAUUCCUUAUUUGGCUCCUAUUGUCUCCUCAUUCCUUCGCCUACUUAUCUUGUUUACUUCAUUAGCAAGGACAGCCUGUCUGAACACAACAGCACCCUUUCACUGUGCUUAGGAAGAGGACUAUCCCAUACAGCACGUAUUCCCAUCAAGCGCCUACUACAACAAUAGUACAGACCUCCAGUGAGAUAAUCUGACCCCCACUGCCAACCCUUACAUGAGGUCUGGAAAGAGGUGCAUCCCGGCUCCACCCUUUCUCAUCACUCAGGUACAUUGCAUGCACCUGAGCUCCCCUGGGUUGGCCCUGCCUUCCCACCAGGUGCUCAAUCACUAUUUCAAGCUGUGACUUAGCAUUUCCACUACAGCGUGGUUCUUCUUUCUCUAUUAUUUCAAGAAUUCUGUCAAUAUUGUCGGAGAACUGUUGUAGUAGGCGUCUUACGGGGAAACAGGAUGUACGGGACAGGCUUUUCCCUAAGCAUAGUGAGACGGUGCUAUCGUGCUGACCUUGAUGCAGAGAAAACAAGAAUAGGGGAAAGAUGCAAAGGAAUGAGGAAGCAGCCAAAUAAGGCACAGUGUUAUGUAGUGCGAACCAAUCAGGGUGGAACAUGACAGCACGGUUGCUUAGGUAAAAUAUGUAAGCUGUGUUUAGUAGUGAUUAAACGCCAUUUUGCUGCUCAUCAUAUUGGUGUGCGUCUGCAGUCAUUUGGUCCUGACCAGGUAAUUGGCCAGCUCGCGCUAGGGCUAACACAGGUGGCUAACAUCAUAGUUGCUGAAAGCAACAGAGAACAAGCUUUGUGUUCUUAACAACAUCAACAAGAUUUCUUUCUUCAGUCUUGUAUUUCAGGGUGAAUCACUUCCAUUGUUCUUUUCUUUCUGAGAACUAAGAUUUUCCAAAAUUUGUUUGUAAAAGCAAAGCAAGCAACUGGUUUAUUUCAGGAUCUUGUAUUUUUUUUCCUUUUGAACUAGGAAUUAUCUGUUUUAUACUGUUUUUUCUUUUCUUGUUUAG